rnacentral:lncRNA from 1 species
UAUACAGGGUGUAUCAAAAAAAACUGAACAGAUUUGAAAUUGCUCUCAAUUUCCCAAAACACCUAUUUGUAUCCGGUUUUUUGUAUAUAUAUCUUCUUUGGGUACUUAUAAUGUAGAAUAAUGAAAAAAAUUUCUCGAACUCAAAUUUUGUGAACCAGGGGUGUGUGUCUUUUCCAACAAACUAAAAAUGACUCGCGCACAAAAUUUAAAAGCUGAAAUCAUAUUUUGAGUUAAUAGAUGGAAAAUUUGUCGGGUUUUUAAUUACUGUACAAAAUUUCAGACAAUUUGGUUUAGUUUAAACUCCUUAAUUAUUCACGCAAAGUUACAUUUUUCAGUAAAAAUCAGCUAUUUGCAUGCUUAAUUAAUGCAUUUGCCUAAUUUGCAUAUGUCAGCAAUAUGCAAAUUAAGUAAAGGUAUUAAUUAAGCAUGCGAAAGGCUGAUUUUUUAGAACAAAAUGAAUAGUUAAAGGGCUUAAACUCAACCAAAUUGUCUGAAAUUUUGUACAGUAAUUAAAAACCCGACAAAUAUUCCAUCUAUUAAGUCACAAUAUGAUUACAGCUUUUAAAUUUUGUGCGCGAGCCAUUUUUAAUUUCUUGGAAAAGACACACCCCCCCUGGUUCACAAAAUUUGAGUUCGGGAAUUUUUUUUCAUUAUUUGACAUUAUAAGUACCCAAAGAAGCUAUAUAUAUAAAAAACCGGAUACAAAUAGGUGUUUUGCGAAAUUGAGAGCAAUUUCAAAUCUGUUCAGUUUAUUUUGAUACACCCUGUA